GGGUUUUAGGAUAUUUGGGAUUAAAUGUCCUUGGGUUUGAAUAGUACUGGGUUGGGUGACCUCCUAGGAAGUCCAAAUUUAGGAGCUU
rnacentral:rRNA from 1 species